UAACCAAACGAUCCCAGGACACCAAAGUAGCCAAUAAAGUCAAGUAUAAGGGGUCUAAACAAAACAAUAUGAAGAAAAUAGUGAACUUAAUAGAUGAAAAGCCUAAACCUCGAGGGGUACCAGUGCAAAAUAAUUUCUCCAUCCUAAACCCUAGCUCUUCGAGCCGUCUAGAAUAUGUCACCAUGUAUAUAUAUAAACACAACAUCAUUGCUUCUUCUCCUCACAUCUUAAACCCUAGCAGCAGCUUAACGUUUUCGAAUACUUGUGCAGUUUGGUUGAUUUGCAAGUGAUGAUAAAACAGACAGGGACAUCAGAACUCCAUUAUUGGGGAAAAGAUGACUAGUCUAAUGGGAAUCUCUCUGAUGCAUUUCAACUAACAACAAAUACUUUCGAGUGAACAUGGCAUAUAAUUUGUUUAAAGUUGUAUUAUUGCUCUAAUUUUGCUUUAACUUUUUGGGGACAACUGAAGUGAAAUGACUAUUGUUUUAUUCUAGUGAUUUUGUAAUGAGGAAUUAACAUUAAUGUACAACUUUGUGUGUACCUUUGCCAAA